AUUUAUAUAAUAUAAAAAUUAUAUCUGACUUCCAAUCAGAAAAUCUAGUAUUCUAGUAUAAAUA
rnacentral:tRNA from 1 species